UAUGUGUUGUUGGGUAGGGGAGCGUUCUGUAAGCCGUUGAAGGUGUGCUGUGAGGCAUGCUGGAGGUAUCAGAAGUGCGAAUGCUGACAUAAGUAACGAUAAAGCGGGUGAAAAGCCCGCUCGCCGGAAGACCAAGGGUUCCUGUCCAACGUUAAUCGGGGCAGGGUGAGUCGACCCCUAAGGCGAGGCCGAAAGGCGUAGUCGAUGGGAAACAGGUUAAUAUUCCUGUACUUGGUGUUACUGCGAAGGGGGGACGGAGAAGGCUAUGUCAGCCGGGCGACGGUUGUCCCGGUUUAAGCAUGUAGGCGGAGGUUCCAGGUAAAUCCGGUACCUUAUUAACGCUGAGGUGUGAUGACGAGGCACUACGGUGCUGAAGUGAUAAAUGCCCUGCUUCCAGGAAAAGCCUCUAAGCAUCAGGUAACACGAAAUCGUACCCCAAACCGACACAGGUGGUCAGGUAGAGAAUACCAAGGCGCUUGAGAGAACUCGGGUGAAGGAACUAGGCAAAAUGGUGCCGUAACUUCGGGAGAAGGCACGCUGAUA
rnacentral:rRNA from 1 species